rnacentral:misc_RNA from 1 species
UUGAGCAAAAACGUGGGGAAUCUGGUGAGACUUGCAAGUGUUUUGCUAUCUUUAGGCUUUCAUGUUGCAACAUAUUUUAUCUAUAUAUACAAGGCAUCAGUUUAUGGAACACUUGAACUCAAUUAACUAUGACCCUUAGAAACAACCCUACUCCUUGAAGAUAAAGAGGAAAAAGAAAACCAUUUUUACUAAAAUAGAUUGAUGUUCCCCACUUUUGUUUUUGUUGUGUCCACUAAAGAGUUAUAUCAAUUGAGGUGGUUGAAGCUGCAUAGUCAAUCACUCUGAAAAUGAAGGGUUAUCUUAGGGAAG